GCUCUACGCAUGCGCUCCUACCUGAGCCGAGCCUACAAUCCAAACCUCCCUCGCCCAACUCUGCCCGCCACAGAUGCCCCUGGGCUCCCCUCCAGACCCUGCCCCGCAUCCCCGCCAGCCUGAAGCUCCUGCGCACCUGGGCUGGGGGAGCCGGUCGGCACCCCCGGAGUCGGAGCAUCACCGCCGCUCGGAGUUGCCACAGCGACGGGGAGGAUCUCGAUGGAGACAGCAUCCCCCGGCCCCCGCAGAAUACGGAUUAACCCCUUCUCCUCCAGCUCCUCCACCUUCAGCUCCAGGGCCGAGGGCCGCGUCGGGGCAGCGGGAGGCGCUUUCUCAGGCUCUGGGGGACGCCUGGAGGGCCCCAUGGCGGUCGAUUCGCUGAAGCGCUCCUACGAACCCCACGGGAGGGGUCAGUGCCCACCAGCAGGCUCCUUGGCACCAAGCCUCCAUCUUCUUCCCGGGGUGGAGGGAGAUGUCAAGCCUAGAAGCCUCAGCUGGCCUGUUCUUGGGCGCCUGGCCUACCACCCGCCCCAGCCUCACCCGCAGGGUCUCCAACUCCUUGCGCGCCUGGCUUAGCUGUUUUUCCAGUUCUGCAAUCUUGGCCAUGGAUUCGUUCUCCGCGUCCCGAAGCCGCUCUGUCAGCUGUAGCACCAGCACAUGGUGAGCCCCGACCCGCAGCCCGGCACUGGCACCGCCGGUGAGGGGGCGGCAUCAGGCAUGCCUGCCUGGAAGACUGGGGGAGGCUCCCAGAUCCGCUCAGCCCAGGUGCCAAGGGUGGGCCGAGCCUGGCACUCGAACCCAAGCAAAUAAGGAGAGGAAACCAAGGUACCAGUGAUGCGGGAGGUGGAGGGAGAGGAGGAGACUGAGCUGGGAGGGGCCCCAGGCACCCAUUUCAGUUCACCUGGGGUCUGAGCCUGGGUAGAGGAGGGGCCUGUCAGUGAGGGUGCUCACCCACACUCAUUGAGAAAGACACCCAACAGAUUCAGGCUUUGGAUUCAGGCCAGGCUCUGGGGCCAGGCAGGCAGCACCUCCAAUGCACAAUUAUAACACUGUCUGCUGCCCAGUGCCCAUGCUUGCGUGGCCCUGUGGCCCGUGUGCCCUGUGGGCCUAUGAUGUGCUGGGCUGGGGUCAGGACCCACUCUCACCAGCGCCACUUGCUCCUGCAGUUCCUCCAUGUGCUCCAGCACAGCGUUCUUGGUCUCUGUGUCCUCCAGCAGCGCCCCCACAUCAAAAAUAUUGUCCAGGUACGCCUGGAUCUGCACCUGCAGCUUGUCACUCUCGGUGAGCCGAAGCCUCUGUCCCCCAGAUGGAAGGAGUGGGGUGAGGCCUGGUGUGUGUGUGGGGGGGAGUCUUUCCAAACCACCCCCCUGCCACCACUGCCAUCCAGAGGAAGGGGCCUGAGCCCUAGCCUACUUUUUCUUUAUUUUUUAAUAUAUAAUUCACAAAUCAUAAAAUCCAUUUUAAAGUGUACAAUUCAGUCAUUCUUAGUAUAGCCACAAGGUUGUGCAACCAUCACCAUUAUCUAAUUCCAGAACAUUGUCAUCAGCCCAAAAAGAAACCCCACAGGCGUCAGCAGUCACUUGCCAUUCUCUCCUCCCCCAGUCCCUGGCAACCACUAAUCUACUUUCCAUCUUUAUGGAUUUACCCAUUCUGGACAUUUCAUAUAAAGCAAUCAUAGAUAGCUGGGCGAGGUGGCUCAUGCCUGUAAUCCCAGCACUGUGGGAGGCUGAGGCAGACGGAUCACCUAAGGUCAGGAGUUCAAGACCAACCUGGCCAACGUGGUGAAACCCCCGUCUCUACCAAAAAUACAAAAAUUAACCGAGUGUGGUGGUGGGCACCUAUAAUCCCAACUACUGGGGAGGCUGGAAAAUCACUUGAACCCGGGAGGCAGAGGUUGCAGUGAGCCAAGAUCGUGUCACUGCACUCUAGCCUGGGCAACAGAGCAAGACUCCAUCUCAAAAAAAAAGCAAUCAUAGAGUACGUGACCUUUUGUGUCUGGCUUCUUUCACUUAGCAUGUUUUCAAGGCUCACCCAUGUUGUACCAUGUGUCAAUACUUCAUUCCUUCUUGUGGCUGAAUAAUACUCCAUUGCACAGAUAGACCCCCCCGCCAGCCUGCUCUCUACCUUUUGUUAAUCCUGGCUUUCAAAAAUCCAACCCCGAAAGCCCCGCUCCUCCAGGAAACCUCCCAAAGGAAGCAGAGAAGGAGCUGCAGCUUCUCUGCUCAGCCUGGGCCAGGAAGCACCAAGCAGCUCUGCCCACCUUCCCCAGGGCAGGGAACUCCUCCAUGUCCUGGGCCCAUCCAGCAUGAGCCAACUCCUGCUUCUACCCUGUAUCUCUGGGUUCCCCAUUAUAUGCUGGAGUCAGAGCACCUGUCUGAGGCUGGUGCUCCCAGAGCCAGACUCUGGGCUACCUUGACCUGUUCUGGUGCCUGCAAAAACAGUUCCAUAGACUGGGGGCCUGGUAUGUGCCAGGCACUGGUCUAUGCAUUUAGAGUCAAGAUUAUCUUCUAUGAUUCUCCUAUUUCACAGAUGGCAAAACUGACACUGAGAGAGAGGAAGAGGCCUAUCCAAGGUCACACGGCAGGCAACGGCAGAGCCAGGAUUUAAACCCAGGUCUACCUGACCCCAGCACUCAUGCUGCUAACCACUCAGCCAUACUCUGCCGUGGGCAGGCAGUUCAGUCUGGGGGGCAGUACAGGGCUUACCUCCAAGUACAGGUCCAGGCCCAAGUGGGUGAACUCAUAUUGCAGGAAGACACGGAAGUUCAUGUUCUCCACCGAAUGUACCACAAUGUUGAUGAACUGCAUGCAGGCCACCUGGGAGCCAGGGACAUGGGGAGAUCUAUGAUCCUCUAGGUGGGGUUGCUCAAUGCCUUCCACCUCCACUUACCCCAAGCCUCCCUCCUUCUCCACAGUUCUCACUCCACUAACUCCCAGCCUUGGCCUGCCCAACAUUUCACCUCCAUGUUCCCUCAAUCCAGCCCCCUGCCAACAUCCACCCUUCCCCUACUGACCACUCAGUCCUUACGCUUUGCGGGGGCAGAGCCCAUUGCCCAGCACCCAGGACCCUAGCUGCUCCCUGCACCCAAGAGGGCCUGGCCCAGGCCUCAGGCUGCUGGGCUCCUGAGCUCACCAUGAAGUCGAUGUUGCUGUCCUCAUUCCGGAAAUAUUCCAUCAGCUUUUCAAAGCGGUGCUGCUCCCCACACACCUGGGUAAGGGGAAUGGCUCUCACUGAGGCCCAGUGACACACGUCCUAAGCUACCUUCUGGCUGCCACACCUGUGCUUCAACAGGCUCCUCUCCAGUUAAUUCUAAGUUGAGCCACGUCACUCUUCUGCUCAAAACCUCCACUCCCUCUCAAUCUCCCACUCUCCCUCACUUUUUCCACUCUGGCCACACUGGCAUCCUGGCACAUUCCCACCCCAGGGCCUUUGCACUUACUGUUCCAACUCCCUGGAGUGCCCUCACUCCCACACCAAGUCCCUUGCUUCCUUCACAGCUUUGCUGAAAUCUCACUUGCUCAGUGAGGCCUUCCCUGACCACCCUGCAACCAAUUCCCCCUCCCUCUGCAACAUUGCUGGCUUUUUUCUCACAGCAUUUAUCAUUUCCUAACAUACUAUGUAAUUUGCUUGUUUAUUAUAUCGUUUCUGUCUUUCCCUAUAUGGUUUCCUUUGUUCACUGAUGUGCCCAAGUGCCCUGUUCCUGACACAUAGUAGGCACUCAAUAAAUAUUCAUUAAAGGAAUGAAUGAAUGAAGAUAUCUUGUCUUAUGCAUCUUAUGCAGCCCCACACAUCUACUUCUUGCAAGCCUGUUAGCCAGAGUCCGCAACUCCUGGAGGUAUGAACCAAGGCUAGUUUGGAUCUGGCAAGGCUGAGUCAGAGGUUCAGCAGGUCCCUGUAGUUGUCCCUACCCCCACCCAGGUGGUGCCCUUACCUGACCCUGUACCUUCCAUUCAGAACUUCCCCAUCCCAGAUUGCUGAGCCAGUGAUGUGGCUCAACUUCAACUUUUGGGCGUUCCCCAAAUGCCCACCCAAUGUCCCCAGCUGCCUCCAGCAAAGGCCACAACUGCCAACAACAAGACUCCAAGCAACACCAUAGGGGGAAAUGCAUGUUUGGGUGAGGGACUCCGGUACCUCCUUGAAGUUGUCAAAGGCUGCAAGGAUGAUGUCAUGUCCUCCCCGCACCAAGCACACGGCCGCCAGCAGCUCCAGCACCAGAGCCUUGGUUCUGGAGAGAGAAGGGGCAGGUUGUCCCUUGAGAACAGGCAGGACCCGCGGCAAGGGUGGGCACAGGCCUGGCUAGGAGGAGCAUAGUGGGUGCAGAAUGAGCCUCUGAGACCUGGAGGACAGAGUAAGCAAGGGGCUAAGUAGGAGAAGACUCUAGAUACGGAGAAAGGUUUGGGGCCUGGACCUCACCUGGGGUUCUUGUUGUUGAGGCUCAGAGCAAUCUCAUUGACACAGGCUGGGUGGUUCAUGACAAGGCUGAAGCCAGACUGGGGAGAGAGGAGAGGUCAGUGUCUCCAGGAAGGGCCCCCCAGGACUUCAGGCACCCACGCCACGUGGAUCUUUAACUGCCCUCGAGUUUAGGAAGUUCUUUGUAUCCAACCGCAACUUCUGUGGCCACCAAAACCUGGCCUUGUUUCUAUUUUUUUUUUCAAGAUGGAGUUUCCCUCUGUCACCCAGGCUGGAGCGCAGUGGCGCCAUCUCAGCUCACCGCAGUCUCUGCCUCCCGGGUUCAAGUGAUUCUCCUGACUCAGCUUCCCAUGUAGCUGGGAUUACAGGCACCUGCCACCACACUCAACUGAUUUUUUUUGUAUUUUUUUCAGUAGAGACGGGGUUUCGCCAUAUUGGCCAGGCUGGUCUCAAACUCCUGACCUCAGGUGAUCUGCCCACCUUGGCCUCCCAAAGUGCUGGGAUUACAGAUAUGAGCCACCACGCCUGGCCUCUCUUUAUUUAUUUUUUAUUUUUUUAUUUUCAUAGAGAUGGGGUUUCAGUAUGUUGCCCAGGCUGAUCUCAAAUUCUGGGUUCAAGCAAUCCUCCCGCUUCGGCCUCCCAAAGUGCUGGGAUUAUAGGCAUGAGCCACUGCACCUGGCCUCUUUUUAAAAACCUUUGUGUUUCCAAAAGCCAGCAUCAGGCACCUUGGAAACCGUGAAGCUGGCUUAAAGGCGGGCUAAGUAAAGGAGGACCCAGCUUCACCCAUCAGCCCUCCAAAUGAAUCGACCCGAGGCUGUUCUCCCCUGGCCCUCCGGCCAGCCCUUCUUGGUAGGUGAGCCCAGUCCCUAUGUGAGGCUCCUUCAUGCCCAGCCAUGGGCAGGGGUACUCAGAGAACCUGACAGAGGCAGCAAAAACAUGGGCUUCCCCUCAAGACUCAUCAGCCUUAAAAGCCUGAGCCAACAGCCCAGAUGCGCAAGUUCCCCAGCACAGCACAGGGUAAAGGGACAGUGGAUCCCAGAGCCUCGGCAGCUUGUGUAGCCCCCAGUGAGGACAGGCUGGGCUCCCUAGUCGCCAGUCCCAUGCCCCUCGGCUGACCUGGUAGUUCAUGAUGGCGCGUAGGCACAUAAUACAGACGUGGACGUCGUCCUUCUGGCUGACGAUGCGGGAAUUCCGCAGGGCCUUCCUGCUGUGGGCUGGGGUCAGCCUGGGCGGGGUGUGGAGGAGGCAGCAGGAGUCAGAGUGAGCCCCAGCUUCCUGUUUCCCCACCACUCAGCCUCUGGGGUAAGAGGAGGCACAUCUGGAACCUGACGGCACCACAUCCCAUCUACCCAACCAAAGAGGCUGGCUGAGGGCAGGCAGGCUUCCUCAGUCCUUAGACCUGGGGUCUGGCAUGCUUGGAGGAGGGGGGACACAGAAGCAAAGACACUUCCCAGGGACUUGGUAGGGUGAGGGUCUAUAGAAGGAAGAGACAUGGGAAGGAUCACCACAAGGUGGCGCUCAUGGCCACUUGGGCUCAUCUUCCAAUGUAAGACGCAGAUCUGAAUUCACACUGCCAGGGUUCAGGCGCAUCCCAGCUCACCAUUUACUGGAUAAGUCACUUAAUCUCCCUAUCCCUCACUUUCCUCGCUUCUAGAAUAGGAAUGCUAAUAAUAGUAGCUUCCUGUCAGGGUUGUUGGGACUAUGGAAUAGGCUUAGAACAGUGCCUGGCACAUAGUAAGUGCUAUAUGACUGUACUCCCUUAUUCUUCGCCAACAAAUGUGUGAUGUUUUCAUUGUUGCAGAACUGCCGACCGGGACUUCCACAUGUCAGUCUCUCUGAUGAUUCUAUCACAUUCCCAGUAAUACCAGGAGGCCCCGCCUUCACCCCCUCCUGCCACAUCACCCUUUCUUGUCAUUGUGCUAAUAUGUCAGAGUUUUUGUUCAUGCUGUUCCUUCUGCCUGGAAUGCUCUUCCCUGUUCCCAUGGCUGCCUGUAAAGCCUGUAUCUGUCUGUAAGACACAGUUCCAGCGUCACCUUUUCUGGGAAGCCUUCCUGAUGUCCCAAGUGGUGGCCACCUCCCUUCUCAGAGCUCCCAGGCACACUUCCAUGACAGCCUGUCACACUAAAUUGUCCCCCACUUAGACUGUGGGCCCCUGAGGGCAGGGUGACCUGUCUCCUGGGCACCUGCCAUAUACCUAAUACAUACUAAGUGUUAAAAAAAUGUUUGCUGAAUGCAUAAUUGCAUGAAUGGACAAAUAACAUAUUGUGAAAGUUUGAGGCUUAAUAUGCAAUCAAUCCUCUAGACCCAAAGCAGGAAGCUAGGGAUUCACAAGAUGCUCUAGGGUCCAUCUACUGCCUGCUUCCUGCCUCCCAGCAAGAUGCCCGUGUUAGGAUGGAGGAACCCAGCCACAGCACUGAACCCAGGGACAUCAGUUGAAUACCUCAUCCUAACCCACCACCACCCUGGGAGGGAGUCAGCCAGGCAUGCACCUGCCCCUAGAUGGCUACGUACCGGGGAGAAGGGGGACACCUGGAGGCCGCAUGGGAGAAAACAGGGGAUUAGAUGCAUACAAGAGGGGUCCCACCAACCCAGAAACUCCCUUCUUAUCCCAGACCCAUCCAGACUCCAACUUCUAGGUGCCCACCCCGAUGGCUUCUUUUUUCUUUUCUUUUCUUUUUUUUUUUUUUUUUUUUUUUUGAGACAGGGUCUCACUCUGUCACCCAGGCUGCAGUGCAGUGGUGCGAUCUCAGCUCACUGCAACCUCCAUCCCCUGGGCUCCAGCGAUUCUCCCACCUCAGCUUCCUGAGUAGCUAGGAUUACAGGCGUGCACCACCACACCCGGCUAAUUUUUGUAUUUUAGUAGAGAUGGGGUUUCACCAUGUUAGCCAGGCUGGUCUCAAACUCAUGUCCUCAAAUGAUCUGCCCACCUCAGUCUCCCAAAGUGCUGGGAUUACAGGCAUGAGCCACAGCACCCAGCCCCACCCCUGAUGGCUUCUUAACAUACUGGUGUCCCAAACUCUGUAUGAGUCCCUUACUCGGACCCCUAAUGCAUGGCUACCCCUCUCGCCAACCCCAAGGGCCCGGGGUGGGCUGGCUAGAUGCAGCAGUGUGGGGGCUGAAUUCUCUGUUCUCCCACCACCCCACUUUGUGGCCCACAUACUUGAUGGUCAGGUGGCGGCUUUUGGGCACGGAGGAGGGUGGACCCUUGCUGAGGUCUUCCACAGACUGCUCCAGGGGCUUGUUUUUCUCUGAGUUGGAAGCCCCGUUGUCUGUGCUCUCCAUGUCAUACCUGGGGACAGGAUGCAAUGGGGCUGGAGGCCAACACUGCAGGGGCCACUUAAGAGGGGGCAGAGGAAACGCAAGGAGAGACAGACCUGCAGGUGAGACUAAGGAGCAGGAGGAGGAGGCUGUGUUCUUGGCACUGUGCUGAACAUAGUGGUGGAAGAGAGGCCACCCCUCCCUGUCGGGGGCAGGCCUUCUGGAAGGAGCAUCGCUCAAGGCCAAGUGGAGGGUUCCAGGGUAGGCUCGGGCUGCCUGGCUUGAAACUGGCCAGGGGAGUGGGUGAGAUGCAGGGAGACGGGGAUCAAAGCUCUGAGGAGCGGCAUGAGGGCUGGGAGCAGGGGGCUUACGUGACAGAGCACUGGGCAAAGGCCAGGUACUCGAGCAGCACAUCCAGGCCACGGUUCUCUUCAUUGAGGAACUCCUGCACCCACCUGUGGGCACAGGGCUCCCUGAGCUCCAGCCAGAAAGGAGGUCCUGCCCCACAUGGGCACAGAACAGGGACAGCAAGGACCCCUGGGGUGCCCUUUCAACCCCCAAAGACCCAAUGAUACCAAAGGAUUCUGGGAGACUCAGGUGGGUCCCACAGCCCAGCCAUGCCUCAAGGUGCCAGUCAGAGCAUGGGCAGGAAGGGGAGGGGAAGCUGUCCUGGACACCUCCAGGAGGUGGUCCACAAGCACAGCCUUGUGCAGGGGGCAGGGGGAGUAGGAAGGGGAAGCUCCAGGAGCUGCCUGGAAGCAGAGCCUUCCUAGGCCCAGAGAGGAAGAUCUGAGCCCUCACUCACCCAAUGUGGUUGGUCCUCAGGGAGGUCUCCAGCUCCCGUAGCACCUGCGUGGACUCCUGAACUCGCCUCUUAAACUGGGGACCGAGAACAGGGAAGGCUGGUGGGUGGAGCCCGGCCUCCCACAGGCCCACCAAGUCCUGAGGCAGCAGGCAGCAGCGCCCACCCUCCUCCAACUGGCACAAGUGGCCUUUCAUGCUCAGCCUCCCCCACCACCUCCACACACCUGCCCAGCAGAAUAAGAACUCACAGGCUACAUGUGCUCCCCCAUACAUAGACAAGCAGGGUACACACACCCCCGAUACAUGGGCACACAAGGUAUACACAUGCACACACACAAAGAGGCAGAGUGUGUGUGCGCACACACACACACAGCACAUGAACAUCCAUAUACCUGCACUCUAAAUACAGACAUAGAAUAUCCACACAUCCAUACAUGGACACACACACACACACAUUCUCUCUCUCUCCUAGAUAUGGACUCAAUGGUACACACACACAUCCAUAAGUGGACAAAGUACACACAUAGUAUACACACACACCUAUGUAUGGACAUAUGGGCUGCACAUGUGUAUACACACAGUAUAAGUACACAGAAUGUGUCCAUGUAAGCACACACAGGAUGUACAGAGGAAUAUCUAAAGUGCACACCCAGGGCACUCUCAUUCCCCUAUAAAUACACAGACACACAAACACACACACACACUCAUACAUGCACCCACACACGCACAUAGAAAAGUCUGUACACACAGUUACUCCAGCUGCCCAGAGCUUGGAAAAUGUGGGGGAAAGGGACAGAGUAAAGAGGGGAGACAUGUACCCCCAGGUUGGACAUCCAAUCAGCUGCUACCUUUCGGCUGACCCCACCAGUAUCCACAUAGCUCUUCAGCUUCUGGAUGUAGGCUGCGGGGGGAUUCUUGACUUGAAACCGCUCCUGGGGAGAUGGAAUGGGGUGUACAGAAAACCAGCCAGAGCUACCCCAGGGCAAAUGACCAGUUCUCGUCCCAGUGUCCCAUUCUCAGCUCCGAUCUGAGGUCCCAGGCUUUCUUAAGACGCCUCUGAAAUACCAAAGGUAUAAACCCAAACAGUCCACCAAGCCACUUUCUUUUUUUUUCUUUUCUUUUAUCUUUCUCUUUUCUUGCCCUGUGGCCCAGGCUGGAGUGCUGUGGCACGAACAUAGUUCACUGGAGCCUCCUACUCCCGGGCUCAAGCGAUCCUCCUACCUCAGCCUCCCAGGUAGCUGGGACUACGGGUGUGCACCACCACGCCCAGCUAGCAUCGGGCCACUUUAAAAACCCCUGGCCUAGGCCUAGCCUGCCCUUCCUGUAUGGGCUCCCAGGCCACAGCCCUGACACAGCUUUGGGGUGGACUAUGCAGGGGUCAGUCCUGCCGUAGGCCCCGCCCUGGGGUGGGAAGGAACUCAGUCUAGCCAGCAGGUGGUGCCCUCCCUGGACCAGAGCUGGCAUACGGCGGGGAAGGACGGCUGGAGGUGCCUCGUGAAGGGGACCCAGCACCUGGGUAGGACUCGGACCCAGCCGCCCUGCACAUCUGCGUUGGCAGGAACCUGCGUGCUCCUCUCCUGUGCUCAGUGAUGCAAUUCCUAAUCCCCCCACCCCACUGCAGGCUCCAGCGGCCACUCACACAAAGAGGCAGGGACCACGGCAAAGACCCCUCCCCAGAGGGGCCCCCACCCUUCCAACCCAAACCCCUCAGAUUCGCCGAGCCACCCCUCAGACUUUCACUUCUUCCAGCCCUUUGAGCCCCCAACCUCUGAGAUGUCAGGCUGAGCUGCUCCAAGGGGACCCCUACCAGAGACUCCAGGGGCAGCUCUCCACCCUCUUCCCACUUCCCAGCCCUUACCCCUGGACUGCUGCCCAGCCGGCUCAGGCCAUCUGCUUCAUUAGCAGGAGGCAAAGGCCCAGCCUUGGCUCCCAGGGGAGGCUCUCAGCUCCCAACUCCCCACCCCCAGCCUCUGCAGCCUCCCUCCUUCACAGAAUCCCUGCGGCAGCCGAGCCCCACCCAGCCCAGCGCUGGGAGAGGGUCGGCCCAUGGCCGACCGCAGCCCUUGAAGCUGGAGGGGUGGGGACAGCUGAGUGACCCGUGAGUCCAGGCACCUGGACGGAGCACCAAAGCAGGGGUCCAAAGUGGCUGGCCUUGGGGAGUUGCUGGUCAACUGCAGCUCCUCUGGACCCAAGGCAAAAGGGCAGGAAUUCCCGCCCCUUCCUCCCUCCCUCCCAUGGGGUCAGGUGAAG
rnacentral:lncRNA from 1 species